GAACAACAGGGAUACCUCAGUAACGGCGAGUGAAGCGGUAAUAGCUCAAAUUUGAAAUCUGGCUCUUUUAGGGUCCGAGUUGUAAUUUGUAGAGGAUGUUUCGGGCACGGUUACGGUUUAAAUUUCUUGGAACAGAAUGUCAAAGAGGGUGAGAGUCCCGUCUUGAACCGAUUACUUCGUCCAUGUGAAACUCCUUCGACGAGUCGAGUUGUUUGGGAAUGCAGCUCAAAAUGGGUGGUAAAUUUCAUCUAAAGCUAAAUAUUGGCCAGAGACCGAUAGCGCACAAGUAGAGUGAUCGAAAGAUGAAAAGCACUUUGAAAAGAGAGUUAAACAGUAUGUGAAAUUGUUGAAAGGGAAGCGCUUGUAAUCAGACUUGAGCUUAACAGUUCCCCCUUCGUUCUCGUUGGGUUAUUCUGUUUUGUCCAGGCCAACAUCAGUUCGGGUGGUUGGUUAAAGACUUUAGGAAUGUAUCUACCCUUCGGGGUCGACUUAUAGCCUAGGGUGUCAUGCAGCCUACCUGGACUGAGGAACGCGCUUCGGCUCGGAUGUUGGCGUAAUGGUUAUAAGCGACCCGUCUUGAAACACGGACCAAGGAGUCUAACAUCUAUGCAAGUCUUUGAGUGGAAAACUCGCAGGCGUAAUGAAAGUGAACGGAGGUAAGAAGCCUUUAGGCUGCAUUAUCGACCGAUCUUGAUGUCUUCGGAUGGAUUUGAGUAAGAGCAUAGCUGUUGGGACCCGAAAGAUGGUGAACUAUGCCUGAAUAGGGUGAAGCCAGAGGAAACUCUGGUGGAGGCUCGCAGCGGUUCUGACGUGCAAAUCGAUCGUCAAAUUUGGGUAUAGGGUAAGUUUAUCAUUUUCUUUUUAUUUCCCCACUCCGACACUUAAAGCAAUAUGCUAAUUUAAUGUUUUAACAGGGCGAAAGACUAAUCGAACCAUCUGGUAGCUGGUUCAUGCCGAAGUUUCCCUCAGGAUAGCAGUAACGUUUUCAGUUUUAUGAGGUAAAGCGAAUGAUUAGAGGCCUUGGGAGUGAAACACUCUUAACCUAUUCUCAAACUUUAAAUAUGUAAGAAGUCCUUGUUACUUAAUUGAACGUGGACAUUUGAAUGUAUCGUUACUAGUGGGCCAUUUUUGGUAAGCAGAACUGGCGAUGCGGGAUGAACCGAACGUGAGGUUAAGGUGCCGGAAUACACGCUCAUCAGACACCACAAAAGGUGUCAAUGCAUCUAGACAGCCGGACGGUGGCCAUGGAAGUCGGAAUCCGCUUAGGAGUGUGUAAUAACUAAAAUCGCGGAUGAACCCCACAGGGGUGUUGCACACAAUAAAUCUACCCUUGGUAGAUUAGUAGGCCUCUCUAGGUCUUACAAUGGCUUUAGUUAACCGGGACUUGGUUAUAGAACAAUAACCUUCAACCGGUGGUGGGCUGUUAUAAGCUCACUCACAGACUAGAAGAAGCCAGCUAGGUCACUGUGACCUAGUUAAGAAAUAGCCGAUUAAAACAUUUAACAAGGUUAUUUAAUCAAGAACAACUCACCGGCCGAAUGCAUUGGCCCUGAAAAUGGAUGGCGCUUAAGCGUGUUACCUAUACCUCGCCAUUAGAGUUGAAAUUAUGCUCUAAUGAGUAGGCAUGCGUGGGGGUUUGUGACGAAGCCUGGGC
rnacentral:rRNA from 1 species